GGGCAUUCUAUUUGAAUUAAUCAAAUGGUUCUCAUAGUUAUUUUGUAUAAACAUAAUCUGAAACUUGGUAAAUAAAGAACUAUUUACACAAAAAAUGAUUUUUCGGAUCGUGAAAGAUCACGUACCGCAUUUUUGAAGAUCGUGAAAAGGAUCGUGAAAGAUCUGAUGCUACGAAGACGUUCAAAUUAUUCUUCAAUUAUAUCAUAAUUAAUAUUUGUUAUUGG
rnacentral:lncRNA from 1 species